rnacentral:hammerhead_ribozyme from 1 species
AUUCAGCUGACGAGUCCCAAAUAGGACGAAGUUCGCUUUAUCCUGGAU